GCAAGCUGUUUCCGCGGCGUCGACGUCCGGGCCCCGUGGCGCGGGCGCGAGCGGCGCGCGGGGAGGCUCUUUGUUCUGUAAUCCCAGUAAGAUUGCCAGCCAUUCGCCCCGGCCCUAAUCCCAGCCCCGCGCAACACCACCCUCCAUUGGCUGCCAUUUACAUACGGGAUUAGCCCGCCCGCCCCGCGCCCAGCGCCCCGGCCCGGGCACCGCGCACCCCCCUUCUCUCCCCGGCCAGGCCUGCGAGACGGCGCCCUGAAGCUCCGGGCGCCAGGGAAAGAGAGAAACUAG
rnacentral:lncRNA from 1 species